UAAGCUAGCCUCAAGGCAAGGAUUAAGGAUGACCAAGCCGUAAAGAGAGUUUAUCUGGGCCCACCAUUCGGGUGGUGAACGAGAGAUCGUCCCAGAUACCCCUCAUGGCAUGGCAUAGUGGAAGUUAACAUGACGAACGAGCUGGUAGAUAUCUUGUGGGAGCGGCCCGGGGAAGCAGGCGUGCGCUUGUGUCGCUGGGUGAAGUAAUCCUAAAAAUGAAACUAAUCGUGUGCAUUGCCCUCGUGUGCCUGGUGGGUCUGGUCACAUGCGAGCCCGUCCACCGCAGACAGAGGCGAGGAGCUGAAGAUGAAACCCCUGCGACCACCACCACCACCGGCGACUCCAACUCCCAAAACAUCCUGGUGUCUCUGCAGCAGCUGUUCAGCAACCCUGACAAGAUCAAGGACCCAUCCAACUGGAUUAGUAUCAUUCCGUUGCUUUUGAACAAAGACAAACCAAGCUCAACAUAAACGUGUGCUGGUUUGAGUAUAGCAAAAUUUUCACGGAUUAUACGCAUUAUUUAUGAAAAUAUUGGCAUUAUUCCUUUUUUACCUAUUAGCAAUAAUUUGGUAAAAUAUUAAUUACCAUACUUACCUACCUUGUUAGAGUUUAAUAAAAUUCACUAGGAUUUGUUAUUAUACAUAUUUAAAAUUUUACGACUGUAUUUUACGAAUGUCUUUACGACUGUUUCACAUCUCCCUUCGAAUCUCGUACAACUAGUUUUCGGUGGGCGCUUUCUACUUCAAAGAACAAAAUUAUACGAAACGAAGUUAUAAGGAGUGGGCCUUACUAAUUCGGUCAUUUAAUCAUCGACAAUUUCUAGGUCUUCUAUAGUUAUUAGUGGUGAUCUGCGAAAUUUUACGAAGAAAUGGUUACAUUUGGCAUCGGAUAGAAGGGCUUGGAAGGAGUUGGGGGUGACCUUUGCCUUGCAGUGGGACGGAAUAGCUUAAUAAAAGCAUCUGCAAUAAAUGCGACUAUGUACAUAAAACCAUAGAAAUAAAACUAUGUUGCGAUUCACUACUUACGUACCUCACACUAGGGCAGAGAUAAAAUUUUCCACUUCCCCUCAAGAACGUACGAUUGCCUUUACACUGAUAAUACUAAUUACUACAAGUUUCCUCAGUGUAUUAUAUUCGUAGAAGGCUCUGUUUGUAUUUAUUUAACUAAAUCUUAAAAUUAUAUCUCACGGCCGUCCAUUAUAAAGCUAUACUAACGACCCGUCCUGGCUUCGCUCGGACGAGCGUUUUUUAAUACGCAUCAAAAUCCGUUGCAGGAUAAACGCAAUAUUUAAGAAAACAUAGUAGUGAACUAAUAAAUUACUCUAAGAACAUCACGUUUUUUAGUGUCAUUUAGUAUGGAGCGUUUUGACGAGUCUUAAAAAGUGUGAUUUUUUUUUUUCACAUCUUGAAAGCAUUGUCAUUGUCACAGUAUUGUUUCUAAUAAUAUAAGGGCAUUAUCAACCAUCCUAUUGCACACUACAGGAGAAAUAAUACUCUGUACUAACUCUAUGGAACAUUCAUACAAUAAAAAGUAAAGUGUUCAAUAUUUUUUUGAAGUUUUUGCAUCUGAGUUAAACUCUAGUGAUCAUAGCAGCAUGACUAUUUUGCGAACAUGUAUUUUUCUUCUUUUAUUAUAUAUUGUUGUACAUUCAGAAGUAUGUGUAACAAUUUCUGGAGCUCACGACUCACAACCUGAUUACGACUGGCAUCCGAUCUUCAGUCCCUUGGGGAAUCGAGGAAAACCUAUCAAGAAGGAAAACAAUGAAGACAAGUUUUACAUACAAAAUGGAUAUCUCGGGAGCCCUUUCCCACCAGUAUAUUACACAGGAUUGUACACAUAUCCCUUCUACGCUUACGAAGAUUUAAAACCACCUCAUCAUCCUGUACACGAUUUCAAUGAAAAUUAUUAUCCAUUCAUUAAAAAGGAAAGUAAAGACCAUCCCGUAACUACUGUAUGAUUGAACAAUAUCUUAAUAAAAUACAAUAUAUUGUAAUUUUGCAAUUGAAUAAAAAUUUAAUCUAAAUUAACCUAAUUUCACUAUUUUUGCUUAUACUUAUUAAAUUACUUAUAUUUUUAUGCCAUAUAAUGCAUCCAUGAGGAAGGCUCUCUCCUAGGAAUGUUAGAAAAUAAACCAAUAGUUAUAAUAUAAAAUACAUAUAUAUCUUUCGUAUAAUAAUGAAUCGCACAAAGUAUAUAUUUGUAUAAAUCGUAAGGAAUUUUUUAAUGAUCCUUAAGAAUGUUCAUAUCAGACGUCAUCUAUUCAAUGUGUAAUAAUUAUUACUUGAACUGGUUUAAUUAUUCUAUUAUAUAUACAUAAAUAUAAUUGCUGCUAUAAAUAUACUAAGUUUAAUGUGAGACAUAUAUUUAUUCAUAUGUACCUGUAACAACAAGCAAGAUGCCAAUUUAAAAGUACACAAAAUUAACAUGAUUCUAAAAAUUCGCACAUUGGUAUAAAAUGUUGUUCUUAAACUGUAAAACUACUUUCUUCCGUUUUAAUCGUAAAGAACACCCCAGCAUUUUGAUUUUCAUUGUACAAAUUCCUUAGAAUAAUCUAUAUCUUUAAAUACAAUAAAACUGUAAGUGGGCUAUGAGUUAUGACGCACGAAAUAAACGCGGGCGCGGUAAAGUCGCGGUUAAAACCAUACUAGAUUUUAACCACGGCUCCACGCCCGCGUUUAUAUUUAAUAAUAUUUAUAUGAAAAUAUAUAUUUAAAAUGUUGAGUACCACAGACCAGAAGGAUCAAACAUUAUGCAGUUGUCAAUUGAUAGGUAUAUAAGAUCAAGGAAACUUAUAACGACACCAGUGACAUAUCGUCUAGAUAAGAGAAUCAACUGCAAUGGCUUCAGUAAAGAUAUUGGCUAUUUUAAUGCUGGCUUUGAUAGCCACGACUUUAGCCCAAAGAGGUGGUUUUGACAACCAAGGCGGGCAAGGUGGGCGAGGACAGGGUGGCUUUGGAGGGGGAUUCGGGGGGAGGCAAGGAGGCUCCAGCGGGCAACGAGGCAACCAAGGUGGAUUUGGGGGGAACCAGGGAGGUUUCGGAGGGGGACAAGGUGGACGCGGCGGUGGCUUCGGUGGAAAUCAGGGAGGUUUUGGACGACAAUGAUUGAACAAAAAUGGAACGAUACCUGAUGACUCAUUGACUUUAUUAUGUAUUAGUUUAUUUGCCCAAAAACGAAUUUGGAUUGCAGUGUUACAAAAUGAAUAAAUGUACGAUUAAAA